rnacentral:lncRNA from 1 species
UUACAUUAACAUUCUUAGCAGAAUGGGGUGAUCGCUCUCAACUAACUACAAUUGUAUUGGCAGCUAGAGAGGACCCCUAUGGUGUAGCCGUGGGUGGAACUGUGGGGCACUGCCUGUGCACGGGAUUGGCAGUAAUUGGAGGAAGAAUGAUAGCACAGAAAAUCUCUGUCAGAACUGGUAAGAGGCAUCGUUUUUUUGGCGUUUGCAUUUUCUGCACUAUUUAUAAGCCCUGAUUCUGGUUUUUAACAAGCUGUUUGUUCAUCUAUAUUUAGUUUAAAAUAGGUAGUAUUAUCUUUCUGUACAUAGUGUACAUUACAACUAAAAGUGAUGGAAAAAUACUGUAUUUUGUAGCACUGAUUUUGUGAGUUUGACCCAUUAUUAUGUCUGAGAUAUAAUCAUUGAUUCUAUUUGUAACAAGGAGUUUUAAAAGAAACCUGACUUCUAAGUGUGGGUUUUUCUUCUCUCCAACAUAAUUAUGUUAAUAUGGUCCUCAUUUUUCUUUUGGUGCAGAACCGUUGUGCAGUGGGGUCUACCAUGCAAUUUUCUUUCAGCACUGACCCCUUUUUAAGGAAUACAAAUUUUCUCCUUCAUCACUUAGGUGUUUUAAGAUGUUUACCUUAAAGUUUUUCUUGGGGAAAGAAUGAAUUAAUUUCUAUUUCUUAAAACAUUUCCCUGAGCCAGUAAACAGUAGUUUAAUCAUUGGUCUUUUCAAAACUAGGUGUUUAAAAAAAGAGACAUAUAUGAUAUUGCUGUUAUAUCAAUAACAUGGCACAACAAGAACUGUCUGCCAGGUCAUUCUUCCUCUUUUUUUUUUAAUUGGGUAGGACACCCAAUAUAAAAACAGUCAAUAUUUGACAAUGUGGAAUUACCAAAUUAAAAGAGAAUACUAUGAAUGUAUUCAUAUUUUUUCUAUAUUGAAUAAACAAUGUAACAUAGAUAACAAUAUAAAUAAAAGUGGUAUGACC